UAAAUGAAGAUAUUUUGUUAAGAGUAAGAUUAAUGGAUGAUUUAAUGCAAUGUGAAACUUUUAAAUUUUUAUCACUAAGUUUUAUUAUUUUUUAAUGAUGAUGUGUCACUCAUAUGGAGAGAGUUGUCCAACUUUCAUAUAUAUAAUUACUU
rnacentral:sRNA from 1 species